GACGAACGCUGGCGGCGUGCUUAACACAUGCAAGUCGUACGACAGCAUUUCCUUUUAGGUUGUGUUUGGAGUGGCGAACGGGUGAGUAACACGUGAGUGACCUGCCCUUCACUUUGGGAUAACGUGCGGAAACGUGCGCUAAUACCAAAUAUUCGCAUUUCUGCUGCAUGGUGGGGUGUGGAAAGGGGCCUUCGGUUCGUGGUGGGGGA
rnacentral:rRNA from 1 species